rnacentral:tRNA from 4 species
GCCGAAGUGGCGGAACUGGUAGACGCGCUAGGUUCAGGGUCUAGUGGGCGUAUGCUCGUGGGAGUUCGACUCUCCCCUUCGGCACCA